GGCCCAGCGCCUUUGCCCCGCAAGCCAGGGAGCGGUGCCAUUGCUCCGGGAAGUCGCCUGGCCUGAGACUUUCCUAAAUUCUAUCCAGACUCAGUGCCCAGAGGCUGGGAUCCUGUGAAUAAAAUGGCGUAGAUGUGCUUGCGCGGAUUUCCUGCUGAGAGUCCAUGAGCAUCUCAAGGAUUUGCAUCCAUGUGCUUAUAAGCAAUGGGAGUGAAUGAAGAGCCAGGCCCAGCAACAGAGGGGAGCCUGUCCACAUGGAGCAAAAGGAGCCGGACACCAGAUUCACCCAUGGCACGAACCCGGUGACGGAGGCAGUGUGAGCAGGCAGGCGGCGGCCACUCUGGGGAAGGGAGAAGGAAUGAGGGUGGGAGGGGCACAGAGGGCCUCCAGGGAGACGGUCCUAUUGUGCCUCUUCACCUGGGUGUCUGUCACCUGGAUGCAAACUUUGUGAUCAUUCACUGAGUCAGGUUUUGUUACAUGUCUCCUUAAAAACAGUUCUUAAAAGCUCCAAUGUAUAUUUCACUAAGA